GGCCUGGUGGUCUAAGGGUAUGAUACUCGCUUAACGUGCGAGUGGUCCCGGAUUCGAAUCCAGGCCAGGCCC
rnacentral:tRNA from 1 species